AUAAUUGUCUCGGCCUUUUGGCUAAGAUCAAGUGUAGUAUCUGUUCACAUAGUUUUUUAUCGAAGUCUAAAAUCUGCAUAGUAAUGCAAUACCAAACAAAUGUAAUUAAAUACUAUACAAAGACCGGAAACUCUUAAUUCUGUUGAAAAAUCUUGUUUUUUC
rnacentral:snRNA from 1 species